UACGAAGGGGGCUAGCGUUGCUCGGAAUCACUGGGCGUAAAGCGCACGUAGGCGGGUUGCUAAGUCAGGGGUGAAAUCCUGGAGCUCAACUCCAGAACUGCCCUUGAUACUGGCGGCCUUGAGUCCGGGAGAGGUGAGUGGAGCUGCGAGUGUAGAGGUGAAAUUCGUAGAUAUCGAGAGGAACACCAGUGGCGAAGGCGAGUCUCUGGACGACUCCUGACACUGAGGCACGAAAGCUGGGGGAGCAAACAGG
rnacentral:rRNA from 1 species